GAAGCUGGAAUCGCUAGUAAUCGCGGAUCAGAAUGCCGCGGUGAAUACGUUCCCGGGUCUUGUACACACCGCCCGUCACACCAUGGGAGUCAGUAACGCCCGAAGCCGGUGACCCAACCUAUUCUGGAGGGAGCCGUCGAAGGCGGGACGGAUGACUGGGGUGAAGUCGUAACAAGGUAAC
rnacentral:rRNA from 1 species